UACGUAGGGUGCAAGCGUUAAUCGGAAUUACUGGGCGUAAAGCGUGCGCAGGCGGCUUUGCAAGACAGAUGUGAAAUCCCCGGGCUCAACCUGGGAACCGCAUUUGUGACUGCAGGGCUAGAGUACGGUAGAGGGGGAUGGAAUUCCGCGUGUAGCAGUGAAAUGCGUAGAUAUGCGGAGGAACACCGAUGGCGAAGGCAAUCCCCUGGACCUGUACUGACGCUCAUGCACGAAAGCGUGGGGAGCAAACAGG
rnacentral:rRNA from 1 species